AUGGCUCAGGAUGAACGCUGGCGGCGUGCUUAACACGAUGCAAGUCGAACGAAGCAGCUUCUGCUGCAGAAGCUGACUUAGUGGCGGACGGGUGAGUAACGCGUGGGUAACCUGCCUCAGUACAGGGGGAUAACAGUUGGAAACGACUGCUAAGACCGCAUAACCCGCUAGUGUCGCAUGACACGGACGGAAAAUAUUUAUAGGUAUGAGAUGGGCCCGCGUCUGAUUAGCUAGUUGGUAAGGUAACGGCUUACCAAGGCGACGAUCAGUAGCCGACUUGAGAGAGUGAUCGGCCACAUUGGGACUGAGACACGGCCCAAACUCCUACGGGAGGCAGCAGUGGGGAAUAUUGGACAAUGGGGGAAACCCUGAUCCAAGCGACGCCGCGUGAGUGAAGAAGUAUUUCGGUAUGUAAAGCUCUAUCAGCAGGGAAGAUAAUGACAGUACCUGACUAAGAAGCCCCGGCUAACUACGUGCCAGCAGCCGC
rnacentral:rRNA from 1 species